AUUGAACGCUGGCGGCAGGCCUAACACAUGCAAGUCGAACGAGUGGCGGACGGGUGAGUAAUGUCUGGGAAACUGCCCGAUGGAGGGGGAUAACUACUGGAAACGGUAGCUAAUACCGCAUCCCAUCGGAUGUGCCCAGAUGGGCUUAGCUAGUAGGUGGGGUAACGGCUCACCUAGGCGACGAUCCCUAGCUGGGCUGCGAGGAUGACCCGCCAAACUGGAACUGAGACACGGGCCAGACUCCUACGGGAGGCAGCAGUGGGGAAUAUUGGACAAUGGGCGCAAGCCUGAUGCAGCCAUGGCGCGUGGAUGAAGAAGGCCUUCGGGUUGUAAAGUACUUUCAGCGAGGAGGCGUUAAUCGCAGAAGAAGCACCGGCUAACUCCGUGCCAGCAGCCGCGGUAAUAC
rnacentral:rRNA from 1 species